CUCCGGGCAGCUGCGGCGCAGUACAGCUGACAUCUCCUCUUCCUCCAUAAAAACCAGCUCCUCACUCCACUCCCUGCCAGACUGUAGCUUCAGCUCCUACAGUUGGUUUGGUCCCUGCACUUGUUGUUCCUGUGCUUCUCGUGCUUUUUCCAUUAAUAUCUUUCCUCUGUUUGCAGUCACCCGCUGGCUGCGCUGCCCAGUGCUACAUCCCUGCCCUGCCUCUGGACCCCCGGCCUUGCCCAGGAUUACCCUGACCCCCCUCUCUGGAUUUCCCCCCAGCUUUGUCCUCCUGCCACCUCUUGGACUCUCCCCGGCCCGUCUCUGGAUUCCCUCCAGCCUCACUCAGUGGACCAGCUCCCACCCCAGACAUUCUCCAGACCAACACAGCCACUCUCUGCUGCCAUCCAUACCACCGGUGCUGCGCUCCUGGCCCGUCGGUCUCUGGGAGCCUGUCUAUCCCUCGUCCAGCCCCGUUUUUUCUGCUGGCCGUGCUACCCAGAGCUGCUUCGUUCUGCGUUUUGUGCCAUUCCUGCAACACUCCAACACUAACCUCUAGAAGAGGUUAUUGGUCCUGCCUGCCUCAGCCCUGUCUACACUGCCCAACCUCCGAUUCUCCCCGCCUCUUGCUCUAGUGGAUCAAAUCCUUUGUUAAACCUUCACUGGUCUCUGCUGUGUCUGUGUACUCUCUGCUUGGGUUCAAGCUUGGCACCGUGACAGAAACUGCCGUGCUGCAUGUGGCACAUUAAGUUGAAUCUGUGCAGGGCACAAAGACAUGGGAAGAUUAUUGAGGCUUUCUAGGCAAACGUAGAGCUUAGUCUAUGCCUCUUCAUUUUUUUGUUUUAUUUAUAAUAUGUUGCAAUAAAUACUGAAAGCAUGUUGGUUCUCUUAAA